rfam:Caenorhabditis remanei strain PB4641 contig39.44, whole genome shotgun sequence.
GCGGUGGUGGCCGAGUGGUUAAGGCGUGGAAUUUGCCAAUUCCAUUCCGGUUCAACCCCCGGAUCGUGGGUUCGAAUCCCACCCACCGCG